rnacentral:rRNA from 1 species
GAUGAACGCUGGCGGCGUGCCUAACACAUGCAAGUCGAGCGAUUUACUUCGGUAAAGAGCGGCGGACGGGUGAGUAACGCGUGGGUAACCUGCCUCAUACACAUGGCUAACAUACCGAAAGGUAUGCUAAUACAAGAUGAUAUAAGAGAUUCGCAUGGAUUUCUUAUCAAAGCUCCGGCGGUAUGAGAUGGACCCGCGUCUGAUUAGCUAGUUGGUAAGGUAACGGCUUACCAAGGCGACGAUCAGUAGCCGACCUGAGAGGGUGAUCGGCCACAUUGGAACUGAGCCCCGGUCCAAUCUCCUACGGGAGGCAGCAGUGGGGAAUAUUGCACACAGGGCGAAAGCCUGAAGCAGCAACGCCGCGUGAGCGAUGAAGGCCUUCUGUUCGUAAAGCUCUGUCCUAAAGGAAGAUUAUGACGGUACUUGAGGCGGAAGCCCCGGCUAACUACUUGCCAGCCGCCGCAGUAACAC